AUAUGCCUUGAUGUGGGGGAUAACUAUUGGAAACGAUAGCUAAUACCGCAUAAUGUCUUCGGACCAAAGAGGGGGAUCUUCGGACCUCUCGCGUCAAGAUUAGCCCAGGUGAGAUUAGCUAGUUGGUGGGGUAAGAGCUCACCAAGGCGACGAUCUCUAGCUGGUCUGAGAGGAUGAUCAGCCACACUGGAACUGAGACACGGUCCAGACUCCUACGGGAGGCAGCAGUGGGGAAUAUUGCACAAUGGGCGAAAGCCUGAUGCAGCCAUGCCGCGUGUAUGAAGAAGGCCUUCGGGUUGUAAAGUACUUUCAGUCGUGAGGAAGGGUGUGCAGUUAAUAGCUGUACAUCUUGACGUUAGCGACAGAAGAAGCACCGGCUAACUCCGUGCCAGCAGCCGCGGUAAUACGGAGGGUGCGAGCGUUAAUCGGAAUUACUGGGCGUAAAGCGCAUGCAGGUGGUUCAUUAAGUCAGAUGUGAAAGCCCGGGGCUCAACCUCGGAACCGCAUUUGAAACUGGUGAACUAGAGUGCUGUAGAGGGGGGUAGAAUUUCAGGUGUAGCGGUGAAAUGCGUAGAGAUCUGAAGGAAUACCAGUGGCGAAGGCGGCCCCCUGGACAGACACUGACACUCAGAUGCGAAGCGUGGGGAGCAAACAG
rnacentral:rRNA from 1 species